CUCUCCUACGGGACGCAGCAGUGGGGAAUAUUGCACAAUGGGGGAAACCCUGAUGCAGCGACGCCGCGUGAGCGAUGAAGUAUUUCGGUAUGUAAAGCUCUAUCAGCAGGGAAGAAAAUGACGGUACCUGACUAAGAAGCCCCGGCUAACUACGUGCCAGCAGCCGCGGUAAUACGUAGGGGGCAAGCGUUAUCCGGAUUUACUGGGUGUAAAGGGAGCGUAGACGGCAUGGCAAGCCAGAUGUGAAAUACCGGGGCUCAACCCCGGGACUGCAUUUGGAACUAUCAAGCUAGAGUACAGGAGAG
rnacentral:rRNA from 1 species